UACGAAGGGGGCUAGCGUUGCUCGGAAUUACUGGGCGUAAAGCGCACGUAGGUGGCUUCUUAAGUCGGGGGUGAAAUCCUGGAGCUCAACUCCAGAACUGCCUUCGAUACUGGGAAGCUCGAGUUCGGGAGAGGUGAGUGGAACUGCGAGUGUAGAGGUGAAAUUCGUAGAUAUUCGCAAGAACACCAGUGGCGAAGGCGGCUCACUGGCCCGGUACUGACGCUGAGGUGCGAAAGCGUGGGGAGCAAACAGG
rnacentral:rRNA from 1 species